UAUUUUUGCAGACGCUUAGAGAAAGAAUCUCGAGGCACCGUCAGAUCGACUGACAUACAUAAUAUUCAUUAUAUAAUAAUUUUGGCAUG
rfam:Nonlabens dokdonensis DSW-6, complete genome.